AUUGAACGCUGGCGGCAGGCCUAACACAUGCAAGUCGAACGGUAACAGAAAGUAGCUUGCUACUUUGCUGACGAGUGGCGGACGGGUGAGUAAUGUCUGGGGAUCUGCCUGAUGGAGGGGGAUAACUACUGGAAAGGGUAGCUAAUACCGCAUAAUGUCGCAAGACCAAAGCGGGGGACUUUCGGGCUUCGCACCAUCGGAUGAACCCAGAUGGGAUUAGCUAGCAGGUAGGGUAAUGGCUUACCUAGGCGACGAUCCCUAGCUGGUCUGAGAGGAUGACCAGCCACACUGGAACUGAGACACGGUCCAGACUCCUACGGGAGGCAGCAGUGGGGAAUAUUGCACAAUGGGCGCAAGCCUGAUGCAGCCAUGCCGCGUGUAUGAAGAAGGCCUUCGGGUUGUAAAGUACUUUCAGUCAGGAGGAAGGGUGUGAAAUUAAUACUUUCAUGCAUUGACGUUGCUGACAGAAGAAGCACCGGCUAACUCCGUGCCAGCAGCCGCCGUAACAC
rnacentral:rRNA from 1 species